rnacentral:rRNA from 1 species
AUUGAACGCUGGCGGCAGGCCUAACACAUGCAAGUCGAGCGGAUGAAGGGAGCUUGCUCCUGGAUUCAGCGGCGGACGGGUGUGUAAUUCCUAGGAAUCUGCCUUGUAUUGGGGGAUAACGUCCGUUAACGGGCGCUAAUACCGCAUACGUCCUUAGGGAGAAAGUGGGGGAUCUUCGGACCUCACGCUAUCUUAUGAGCCUAGGUCGGAUUAGCUAGUUGGUGGGGUAAAGUCCUACCAAGGCGACGAUCCGUAACUGGUCUGAGAGGAUGAUCAGUCACACUGGAAGUGAGACACGGUCCAGACUCCUACGGGAGGAAGCAGUGGGGAAUAUUGGACAAUGGGCGAAAGCAUGAUACAGCAAUGCCGCGUGUGUGAAGAAGGUCUUCGGAUUGUAAAGCACUUUAAGUUGGGAGGAAGGGAAGUAAGUUAAUACCUUGCUGUUUUGACGUUACCAACAGAAUAAGCACCGGCUAACUACGUG